rnacentral:rRNA from 14 species
AGAGGGAAACAACCCAGACCGCCAGCUAAGGUCCCAAAAUAUUGCUAAGUGGGAAACGAUGUGGGAAGGCACAGACAGCUAGGAGGUUGGCUUAGAAGCAGCCAUCCUUUAAAGAAAGCGUAAUAGCUCACUAGUCGAGUCGGCCUGCGCGGAAGAUGUAACGGGGCUAAGCAAUAUACCGAAGCUGCGGAUUUGAACUUAGGUUCAAGUGGUAGGGGAGCGUUGUGUAAGUGGUUGAAGGUGAACUGAGAGGUUUGCUGGACAUAUCACAAGUGCGAAUGCUGACAUGAGUAACGAUAAUGGGGGUGAAAAACCCCCACGCCGGAAGACCAAGGUUUCCUGUCCCAUGCUAAUCAGGGCAGGGUAAGUCGGCCCCUAAGGCGAGGCGGAAACGCGUAGUCGAUGGGAAACGGAUUAAUAUUUCCGUACUUGUUAUAUCAGUGAAGGGGGGACGGAGAAGGUUAUGCUAGCCUGGCGUUGGUUGUCCAGGUGAAAGUGCGUAGAGUUGUUUCUUAGGCAAAUCCGGGAAACUACAUGCUCGAGACACGAGACGAGACUCUAAGGAGUUGAAGUUGCAAAUACCAUGCUUCCAGGAAAAGCCUCUAAACUUAUGAUAUAUCGAACCGUACCCCAAACCGACACAGGUGGUCAGGUAGAGAAUACUAAGGCGCUUGAGAGAACCUGGGUGAAGGAACUCGGCAAAAUCGUACCGUAACUUCGGGAGAAGGUACGCCCCUGUCUGUGAUAAGACUUGCUCUUUGAGCGGAUGGGGGCCGCAGUGAAAUGGUGGCUGGAACUGUUUAUUAAAAACACAGCACUGUGCUAAAUCGAAAGAUGACGUAUACGGUGUGACGCCUGCCCGGUGCCGGAAGGUUAAUUGAUGGG